AAGUUAUUUGUAUUACUAAUAUUUGUUUUUGUAGAAACUACUGAGGUGGGGUUGAAUGAUUUGACUGAAAAUAUUAUGAAUUUAUUCACAAAUGAGGAUCUUGGAUCAAAACCUACUGCAACACAUGAUUGAUGAUUCUAAUGAAAAGUUUGACUCGGUACAAAGGAGGAGUAAAACAAUGGAAAAGUGGAGCUUGAAACUGAAAGUUAUUUUGUGAAGCUUGAAAACUUUUUUAUUUUGUAUUGAUAUCAUAAAUUUUCUUGUAUAGACUCUGGACUCUAUAGGAUCGUUUACUUGUAUAGAUAAUAUAGUUGUAUUAACCUUUAAUCCUUUUGGAUUGCCUUAAAAGUUAUUUUUUGGGUUUCAUGUGGAACCCCCUUUCAUGGGUGAUGGAAAUGGCUGCCAUCAUGGCCAUUGCCUUGGCCAUCGGCAGUGGAAAACCCCCAGACUGGCAAGACUUUGUCGGUAUUGUAGUGCUGCUCGUGAUAAACUCCACCAUCAGUUUCCUUGAAGAAAACAAUGCUGACAAUGUUGCUGCUGUGCUGCAGCUCUUAUGGCUGGCCUGGCUCAAAAAACGAAGGUGCUCAGAGAGUCAGAGUGGUAAGAUUGUAUUUGUUUUGCCCUUUUUUGAAAGAGUGUGUUUUGAAGGACCCUUAGAAUUUGUGAGACAUUGAGGUUGCCUUAUGAUUCAUGAUGUUGUAAUCGGUGGUUUCUUUUCCAUUUGCAAGUAGUCGAGCAUUGGUAUUUGGUAUUUAGGACGAGCUUAGAAAAUGGGUUCAAUGUUUUGGUUAUGCAA